GCUUAAUUUGAAUCAACACAGGAAAACACACCCAACCCGGACACCGUAAGACGUAAGGACACCGACAGAUUGAAAGCUGUUUCUCGAUUUAGUGGUUGGUGGUGCAUGGCCAUUCUUAGUUGGUGGAGCGAUUUAUCUGGUUUAUUCCGAUAAAUAAAUAUUGACUAGAUUACUGUGUCUAGUCUACUUCUUAGAGCGAUAAGCGGUGUUUAGCAGAACGAGAUUGAGCGAUAACAGGUCAAUGGUGUUUGUAGAUGAACCCGCA
rnacentral:ncRNA from 1 species